UGGGAUGGCAUGAACACGUCCCUGGAUCUUUGAUUUCUUGUUAAGUAAAAGUGGGCCCCUAAAAUCAAGGCAGAUGUUUUCACUGCCUGUCACCAAAGCAGAGGAGGGCAGCUGCUUAAGAUCAGUGAGGACACCACUGUGGGGUCUUCCCUCCAUUAGUCUCACCCUUGGAGCCCGGUCAUUCUAUCCUGAAGAGAAUGAACGUGCCCCGUGGGACAGCCCCUCAGGAGCCCCCACUGGCCCCUGUGGACAACCUGAGACCCCCGAGAGGAGACUGACCACUCCCUGCUGGCCCUGCCCUCCCAGGCCUGGGGGUCUCCGCCUUCUUUGUUCUGAGCUGGAGGAGGGAGGGGCUACUCUUCUCACAGAGGACCCUUGGCCCCUGGCCCAUGCUGGGUGUCCAAGGGAGGUAGGAAGCAGCCCUUCUAGGUGCCUCUGUCCACUUCGCCGGCACAGCUGUCCCGAGCCCAGGAACGGGCUCUUUCCUCUACUUACAGACUGAGGGAAAGCUCCUGCUUCCGAGGCAGGAGUCACAGCACCUGUGGAAGCAGACUCGCUGAGGGAGACCUUGAGUGACAGCCAUUCCAGCCUCAGCUUCCCUGGUGGUAAAAGAAGGGUGAGUUGGAGGCUUCUGAGUUAAUCUCGGCCAUCCAAUGUCCUGCCUGGUCUGGCGCUGGGGCACCCAGCCAGUGAGGCACGUCCCUGUCGUCGGGCUGCUCCAGUCGGAGGCUGGAGGCUGGGUGAGGGGCGGUGGUCGGGGUGGUGGAGGGGAGCCUCAAGCUGGACCUGCCACAGGCUUCUCUGGCUACACUGCUGGUUUCCUCAUGUGUCCCUCCCUUGGGAAAUGAGAGCGAGCCUCCAGGCCAGCUUCCAGCUGAGGGGCUCCCUGGAGUCCAUGGGUGUCCCACUGGUCAGCAAAGGGAGUGAGAAGCUUCCUCCCACUCAGCUGUCAGCCAGGAAGGGAGGGGACGCAUUCUGGACGCUUCAGGGGCAGGAUGAAAAAUACAGCCUCUGAGACUGGACAGCUCAAGGUGGUAAGAGUCUCCUGAACCUGAAGACAGGGCUCACUAUGCUGCGGGCCACAGUUCAGGUGGUGCCAGCAGCUUUGGGGCUGACUAUAUCCUGGUGACAGCAGUGCCGCAUCCCUGGAGCCCAGGAAGACCCUGGUGUUGGUAGGAAGUGGAGGACCUGGUCCUGCUCUGUGCCAAGUGUCCUGGCACCUUAGGGUAGCCAGCCCCUGACUUCCUGCUGAGCUCCUGGGAGGAGGGGGUAACCAGAACCUUGCUGUAUAAAACCACCUACAAUUUGGAAGGAGGACAGGUGCAAGCGCUCUUCCAUCAGCUCCCAGAUGACCUGGCGUUGCUUCAUUUUCUCUCUGCUUACUCGAGAGGCAAGGCUCUUGCCUGGGAUGGUUCCUAUAGUCAAGCGAGUCAGUGGAUCGGCUUCAAGGGAGCUGUCUGUUUGCCCAGCUGCUGCUCGUUUUCCACAGCAGCUCUCGUGCACCGUCCCUUCAUUUCCUACAGAUGAGGAAACUGAAGCACAGGUAUGGAGGAAUCACCAUGAGUCUACCACAGGACACAGUCCCACGGGCAAAACCCACCAACGGAUGCUAAAACGAGGGGUGAACGGCUAAGGCACAGAGCAAGGAGUGGCAGGGCUAAGAUCUGACUCCAAUUCCUGCAGUCUUCACCACCACAUCUGGACUGUUCUAUUUUUUUCUAUGGGACCUAGUAGUAAAAUUUGGACCAACAGGUCGAAACUACAGGGAGAUAUAUUUCAAGUCAAUAUAAACAGUGUCUUUCUAUUUCCACUAUUCACAAAUAGAAUUGGCACACAUAGUGAGUUCACCAUCAAGGGUUGUAAACAAACUGAGCAUUUGGCAGGGACGCCAUAGAGGGGAUCCAUGUAUUGAGUAGAUAAUGUGUAAACCCAGGAUCACAGAGUGACCUCUUUGGGGUCAUUUAGAAAAUGUGUGGGUACCAGGAUGGAGGCAGGAAGGUGUCAGCCAGGGGAGAACAUGCAGGAUAUUGGAGCAGGAGCCCAAGCUAUGACUGCUGAAACAUUAGGACCAGAGUCAAGGAUUCCUGGCACUGCCAAAGAUAGUGGCCUGUAAAGGGGCAGCAGGUGACAGAGGUGUAGUGUGGGUAGGUGCGUUUGGGACCCAAAUCCUGGGGACAUAAAGUCUUUGGGAAUGCCUCACAAAAGGCCUGCACAGAAACCUCUGAAAUUCCAACUCUGGAGCCUCGUUCCCUUGGCUUCAGACUUUCAUCUCUGUUAGGAUGGGAGGCAGGCUGGACCGACUUAACAGCAAAGUUGGAGCUACCUUUCCCGCAAUUACCUUCCCUGUGUGGUUCCAGUUAGGAGAAACUUACAUGAGAUAUGGAAGGUGAGGUGAAGGAGCAGUAAUUCUCAAGCUCUGAAGGCCAGCGUAGGGCGCCACCCGCUGCAGCUGCUUGUGCAUGUUGUGGACCUGCCGUCUCACCUCGUAGACCUGGGGCAGCACCCAAGCCCGCAGCUCCCGCCAGCUCUCCGCUUAGACUUCUCCCAGCUUUGGGCCGCACAUGUGUGCAGCUCUGUGGAGAAGCCCAUCCCCUUCUCCACAUCAUCGAGGUUGGAGGUGGGAAAGAGAGGAAUGGGCUCCAGCCUGUUCCUGUGGGUUCAGCCACAGUUUGCCCUCCUGGGUUGCAGUUCAGCCACAUGGGUCCCAUUAGUCCUUGCUCUCCCCUCCUUCAUGCCCAGCUCUUCUUCCUGACCAGCAGCCUGGCUGACCUAGAAUGCCUCCAGGCCCAACACCGGAGACAAAGACCACAACUUUGCACAGCCUCCUUAACCAGCUCUCACAAUUGCAUGAGGCCUAAUCCUUUUCUCGGCCUCCAUGCUCUGUAUCACCUGUCAUGGUUCUGCUCCUCUGAUUGAACCCUGCACACACACCUGCUUCCUCCACACACUGCCAACUGCUGAAGGUGCUCCUCUACCCUGGCAUCUUACCGACGGGUAUCAGUGGCUCAUCACUACCUAGAAAAUCAAGUCCAGAUCCCUAGGGUUGGCUCUGGUGGUCCCCCCUCCGCUUACACCAAAGCCUGUGCUUUUGCUGCCACACUGCACUGCUUUCCAGGAGGCCUGGGACUCAGUCUGGCUCUGCCUCUUACAGCCCUGAAGUCUUGGGCUAGUUAAUUUCUACUGAAGAUCAGUUUCCAUGUCUAUAAAAUGGGCAUUACAAAACCUUCCUCCAAGGCUAAUAUUCUGCCCAUACCGCCAUAUCAGUUGUUUAAUGCCUGUGUCCACUCUGAUUGGUUGGUGCCCAUGCGCUGCUGGUUCUUAAAUAACUAUCACCCUGUGUUAGUUUUCUAUUGGCGCAUAACAAAUUACCACAAGCUCAGAGCCUUAGCACCUCUUUCUUAUUUCCCGGUUUCUGCA
rnacentral:lncRNA from 1 species